GUCGAGAAUUUUUCACAAUGGGCGCAAGCCUGAUGGAGCGACGCCGCGUGGGGGAUGAAGGGUUUCGAUCCGUAAACCCCUGUCAUUUGCGAACAAACCUUAGGCAAUAAGACUGCCUGAGCUGAUUGUAGUGAAAGAGGAAGGGACGGCUAACUCUGUGCCAGCAGCCGCGGUAAUACAGAGGUCCCGAGCGUUGUUCGGAUUCACUGGGCGUAAAGGGUGCGUAGGUGGCCGGGAAAGUUUGGUGUGAAAGCUCGGAGCUCAACUCCGAAAAGGCAUUGAAUACUAUUCGGCUGGAGGGUCGGAGGGGAGACUGGAAUUCUCGGUGUAGCAGUGAAAUGCGUAGAUAUCGAGAGGAACACCAGUGGCGAAGGCGAGUCUCUGGACGACACCUGACACUGAGGCACGAAAGCUAGGGGAGCAAACAGGAUUAGAAACCCUGGUAGUCC
rnacentral:rRNA from 1 species